CUGCUUUUAUUUAACAUUUUCAGUAUAGACUAUUUUCCAAUCACUUGCUCACAUAUUGCAUUUAGAAAGCAUACAUGAUGACUCCAGAAAUGAAAAAGUAAAUUUUGAAAGUAAAUUUGAAAGAAAAAGUUGCCACCAGCAAUUGGACAACUUAUUUUCUAACAAUUUAGUUCUAGGAAAAUAACUUUAUUUAAGAUUUAAAAACAUGAGAUGUAAAUUCUGAGGAUGCUGCACAGAGCAUGGAGGUCAAUAAACAGAAUCAUGGUGUGUCACAAAGAAUGACCUACAGUUCACCUUCUUUUUGCCACAAGGUAGAGGACUGACAAUAUAAAAAAUAAUAAAUACACAGCUUUUAAACUAUAAACACUAUUUGAUCUAUCCUUUAAAAAUGUAGA